CUGGUAUGCGCCUAAGAGCUGGUCUACCUAUCAUAUUUAUCUUUGGAAAUACCUUCUAGGAGCUGACUUACCGCAUGGUGGCCAUAUAAUGCAUAGUACAAGCCUCCAUUUCCUAUUUGCUCAUCAGUGUGCUGAUGAUCCACGCAACACACCAAUGAGAGAAGCUACUAAUGUCCUGGGAAUGCUCCUUUGUGAUAGAAAAUAUAAGACUGAGAGGGAAGUCACAUACAAAUCCUUACACUGACAAGAUGAGUUAGUUGGAUAGCGUCCUGUAUUUCUAUUGCAUGACAUUGUGACUUUGGAUUGUUUCAGUCCACUAUAUGUAGAGAUGUUAGGAGCCCCAUAUUCCCCUCCCAGGGCCCCUUGUGGAUGGGAAUUGAUUGUUAAACUGCUCUGGGAAUUGUAGCUCUGGGAGAAGAAUACCAGUCUCCUAACAACUCUUGGAACUCUUAACAAACUACAGCUCCCGCAAUUGCAUGACAUUGUGACUUUGGAUUGUUUCAGUCCACUAUAUGACACUAUCUGGGCACCACAAUUCAAGAAGGACAUUGACAAACUGGAACGUGUCCAGAGGAGGGCAACCAAAAUGGUCAAAGGCCUGGAAACGAUGCCUUAUGAGGAACAGCUAAGGGAGCUGGGCAUGUUUAGCCUGGAGAAGAGGAGGUUAAGGGGUGAUAUGAUAGCCAUGUUCAAAUAUAUAAAAGGAUGUCACAUAGAGGAGGGAGAAAGGUUGUUUUCUGCUGCUCCAGAGAAGCGGACACGGAGCAAUGGAUCCAAACUACAAGAAAGAAGAUUCCACCUAAACAUUAGGAAGAACUUCCUGACAGUAAGAGCUGUUCGACAGUGGAAUUUGCUGCCAAGGAGUGUGGUGGAGUCUCCUUCUUUGGAGGUCUUUAAGCAGAGGCUUGACAACCAUAUGUCAGGAGUGCUCUGAUGGUGUUUCCUGCUUGGCAGGGGGUUGGACUCGAUGGCCCUUGUGGUCUCUUCCAACUAUGUGAUUCUAUGAUUCUAUGAAUUCUUUAGGAGAAGCCAUGACUGUUUAAAGUGGUAUCAUAGUGCUUUAAAUGUAUGGCGUGGAUGUGGCCUUGCUUUCUUUGCACAUUACUUUUUUCCUUCAUAAAAAUAAUCUCAGAUAUGCUGGGACUGCAUAGGUUUGAAAGUGCACAGCUUCCAAGCACAUAAUUAUUGCAAAAUAAACAUUUCCCUCCUUUUCAAAUUUGACACUUUACAGAAGUGCACACACAUCUUUCUUACUGGGCUUUAUACAAGAAAAAAAAUAUUGUAGCUUUCAGAAUGCUAAGAAUCAACAAGGCUGACCAUCAUUCUUCUCCCAAAGCCAUUCAUCUCUUUGCACUCUCUUUCGGUCCUAGGUCCACCCUUCUAUACCAUCCCUUUUCUCCAACUGAAAUCUCUGUUUGCCUUGCAUUUAGGAAGACUUGAACAGUCACAUUGGAUCAUUCAUUGUUUUGGAGCGCUGCUGUCCCACAUAGUUAAAAUCUAAGUAUUGAAAAGUGGGAACCAGGAGUUCUGGCAAGAAGAUGUCUCACAGGCAUCUCAGAGUUGGGUUGUGGAGGGUCACAUAGCGCUUAACCCUUCCUAUGCUGAGCUACGGGGCCUUAGGCAUAGGAAAUGGCACUUUUCUUGGAAGAAUCUUAUGGCUGCAAAAUUUGCUGGGCUCCCUCAACGUGUCCAAAGGGCAUGGGAAGAGCAGAUCAGAUGCCCUUUUCUCCUACAUCAUGUCUUAGCAAUGAGAGAGAAAAACAAAUGCCUGGGAAUGAGUUUUCCAGACUGAAGGCUAUUGAAUGUGUCUUUUCUAUCCAGGCCUUAUGAACAACUGGGGGGAGGAUGAGAGAUGUAGGCUGAAGUGACAGGUCAUCCCCUUCAGAAGCUGCUCUAACCACAUGCAGAGAAAAGGGCACAGUCAGCAAGAUAUGCCUGGCUCUUCUCUGAGGGGAUCUCUGUCCUAAAAUGGCCUAGAGACAAUUCUGCUUUGUAGCUGCACCAAUUUAGGACUAGGCAUCGACCAGUGAGUUUGUAUAAAUAAGGAAAAUGGCCCUGAAUAAUGGAUAGGAGGGUGUUGGUAGCGGCUUGAAUUCACACAGUUCAAAAGGUCAUCAGAAAAAAAUAAGAUGAGCUCACAAACAAAUGUUGCUCACAUGUAUUUCCAGUAAAGAUUUGAGUACAGCGACUUGUAUAAUGUCCAUGUAAGUGAUUAUAAUUUUAUGCAUCUGCACAGAGAGGGAAUAUUCAGGACAUAAUUAAUCAUUGCUAUAGACGUCUACAAAAAUAAUUUUGCUAACAGUUGGAGGAGGGUGUUCUCCCCACCCAUGUAACAAUUUUUCACUUUCUCAUCUGCUGAAGCUCUUUGACAUACUAUUAGGCAUGGUCAGUCAAAGAGAAGCCAUAGCCUCAUCUGCUGAGAUGUUUUAACAGGAGCAGACAUUUAUGAAAGCCCUUUUUGGAAUCCCAAAAUAGGAUGGGGGAGUUCAUGUAAUGUUCAGUUCUACUCUCUUGGUUCACUCUGAAUCUCAAGGCUUGUGUUUAUGAUUCUAUUAAUUGUUCCCACCUCUGUAUAACACUGCUUUUCCCCUAUAGCAGUAGGUUCAUUCCCUAGCACAAUCAGUUAAAGCAGGGGUAGCUAACUUCUGGGGUCAUGGGGCAUGUUCACCUGUGACCAACACUCCGGCGUCUGCAUGUCCCAUGGUUGCAUACACAUCCUUGCAUGCACAGAGAGAGAGAGAAUUUCCAUCUGUGGUUGAUCUGUGUAGAUCAGCUAAGGAGUGGGGCUGUCACUCUCUCUGCUCAUCAAAAUGAUCAUUCUGGUGAUUUGCAUCUCCAUCAGGGCAUUGGGCUCUGCCCACCACAAUGCUGUGGCAACUUUUUUUUAAUCACCACUUUCAAAAUUGGUGAGCUCAGGGAGUCAGAUCAGGCCCUCUACCUGGUGUUAGCAACCUCUAAAUUAAAGAAUUGCAAGGCUGUUAAGUUGUGACUUGGAGGGUGAGAUAGUUCAAUGUGCAAGGGCGAGGGGAGUACUUGACCCCCUCCUGCACCUACCAAUUAUCUUCUAUAAAUGUCCUCCUGAAUGACUUCUAGUUUGUGAUCUAGCUUGGGGAACGAUUCAAAACUACCUGUGGGGAACGUUGCAGAGGAGAAUCAGAAGUUGGAGGAAGGGUUAAGCACUCUCUCCUACCCAUAAGAUCCCUGCAGCAAAAAACAUCCUCAUUGCCACCCCACACUGGUAUGACAAGAGAAAUGCAGGGUUGGGAUCCUGAUGUUUCCAUUGCAACAUCUCAUUUGACAAGAAAUACCUCUGCUUGUGGAUUAAGAGCUCUACUUACAGACCAUGGGUCUGUAAAGCAGUUUCUUAUGGCUACGGAUAGUAAAGAGUCCAAUCUCGCAGAUGUUUACUGUGUGAAUGUUUUGAUUCUACAGCAUUUUAUAACUACAGUGUGUGAAUAUAGCCCUAUACUUACUUGCAUUCUGUAUCCAGGGUAUGUAGUGUAUAGAGGGCUUGCAGUGGCAAGCCCUUACCCUGAGAUGCACAAUCAGCAUAGUUAAGUCUUGAAAACCCCAUUGGCACCAUACACAUGCAUGCAUUGAAUGAAAGGUUGAUAAAUAAACCCACUGAUGGAAGGACACCUGCAUGCACAUCAGAUCCAACCAUGUGGUUGGUUAGUCAAGCCCAAACCCUUCUCAAUGAACUCUGGUUACAUUUCCAGGGGAACUUUGGAUGACCUUGCUCUGCUGAGUCAAGAGAAAUAUAAAAAUUCUUUUGCAGUGCUGCUCAUUACUGCAGCUACCCAUCACCUGCUGGGUGUGCAUCUUUUCAUUUAUUCAUUUCUCAAUGGGAGGUGCCAUCACGCUGCAGUUACUGAAACAAAUGGUGGCUGGGCAGCAGUCUUCUACGGCCUGGAGUUUGAUGGUUUCACUCUGUCUGGGUCGGCAGCUUGUCUGCCAAUCAGUCAGGCAACUCUGAGCCUCUGUUUUCCGGAACCUCACAUUCUCUGGGAGCAUGGAGGUGAAGGGAGUCCCCUUUCGUAUUUGAGAUCACUCUGGAUUCUCUAUUUGUACAUGCUGGAUCUAGCAUCUCAUCACCUGGCAACAGUCCUUUCCUAGC